AGUGUGUGUAAGGUGUAUAUAUGGUCAGUAGUGGGAUGGUGUUUAUUAAUUAGUGUGUGUAAGGUGUAUGGUUAGUAGUGGGAUGGUGUUUAUUAAUUAGUGUGUGUAAGGUGUAUGGUCAGUAGUGGGAUGGUGUUUAUUAAUUAGUGUGUGUAAGGUGUAUAUAUGGUCAGUAGUGGGAUGGUGUUUAUUAAUUAGUGUGUGUAAGGUGUAUAUAUGGUCAGUAGUGAGGUGGUGUUUAUUAAUUAGUGUGUGUAAGGUGUAUGGUUAGUAGUGGGAUGGUGUUUAUUAAUUAGUGUGUGUAAGGUGUAUAUAUGGUCAGUAGUGAGGUGGUGUUUAUUAAUUAGUGUGUGUAAGGUGUAUGGUCAGUAGUGGGAUGGUGUUUAUUAAUUAGUGUGUGUAAGGUGUAUGGUCAGUAGUGAGGUGGUGUUUAUUAAUUAGUGUGUGUAAGGUGUAUGGUCAGUAGUGGGAUGGUGUUUAUUAAUUAGUGUGUGUAAGGUGUAUGGUCAGUAGUGAGGUGGUGUUUAUUAAUUAGUGUGUGUAAGGUGUAUGGUCAGUAGUGAGGUGGUGUUUAUUAAUUAGUGUGUGUAAGGUGUAUGGUCAGUAGUGAGGUGGUGUUUAUUAAUUAGUGUGUGUAAGGUGUAUGGUCAGUAGUGAGGUGGUGUUUAUUAAUUAGUGUGUGUAAGGUGUAUGGUCAGUAGUGAGGUGGUGUUUAUUAAUUAGUGUGUGUUAGGUGUAUGUAUAUAUGGUUAGUAGUGGGAUGGUUAGGGAGAAAGCCAAUUUGACAUAUACUUAUUACAUUGGUUUUCUUGAAGAAAGGUUUGAA